rnacentral:rRNA from 1 species
AUUGAACGCUGGCGGCAUGCUUUACACAUGCAAGUCGAACGGCAGCACGGGCUUCGGCCUGGUGGCGAGUGGCGAACGGGUGAGUAAUGCAUCGGAACGUACCGUGUAAUGGGGGGAUAACGUAGCGAAAGUUACGCUAAUACCGCAUACGCCCUGAGGGGGAAAGUGGGGACCGCAAGGCCUCACGUUAUAUGAGCGGCCGAUGUCGGAUUAGCUAGUUGGUGGGGUAAAGGCCUACCAAGGCGACGAUCCGUAGCGGGUCUGAGAGGAUGAUCCGCCACACUGGGACUGAGACACGGCCCAGACUCCUACGGGAGGCAGCAGUGGGGAAUUUUGGACAAUGGGCGCAAGCCUGAUCCAGCCAUGCCGCGUGAGUGAAGAAGGCCU